rnacentral:tRNA from 1 species
ACGGCUGUGGUCUAGUGGCAAGACUCGACCCUCCCAAGGUCGCGACUCGGGUUCAAAUGUUAAACUGUGUUUAACGCCCAGAAAAACGCAGUUUUUCUGAAUGUCCCGGCAGCCGUA